rnacentral:rRNA from 1 species
AUUGAACGCUGGCGGCAGGCCUAACACAUGCAAGUCGAGCGGAGCGGCGGUGGGGUGAGUAAUACUUAGGAAUCUGCCUGGUCGUGGGGGAUAACGUUCGGAAACGGACGCUGAUACUGCUUCCUCUUACAUGAGGCUAGGUCGAAAUAGCUAGUUGGUGGGGUAAUGGCUCACCAAGGCCACGACCCGUAGCUGGUCUGAGAGGAUGAGCAGUCACACUGGAACUGAGACACGGUCCAGACUCCUACGGGAGGCAGCAGUGGGGAAUAUUGGACAAUGGGCGAAAGCCUGAUCCAGCCAUGCCGCGUGUAUGAAGAAGGUCUUCGGAUUGUAAAGCACUUUAAGUUGGGAGGCGUUACCGACAGAAUAAGCACCGGCUAACUCUGUGCCAGCAGCCGCGGUAAUAC